UACAGAGGUCCCGAGCGUUGUUCGGAUUCAUUGGGCGUAAAGGGUGCGUAGGCGGCGGGGCAAGUCUGAUGUGAAAUCCUGGGGCUCAACCUCAGAACUGCAUUGGAUACUGCCUUGCUAGAGUACUGGAGAGGAAACUGGAAUUUACGGUGUAGCAGUGAAAUGCGUAGAGAUCGUAAGGAAGGCCAGUGGCGAAGGCGAGUUUCUGGACAGUUACUGACGCUGAGGCACGAAGGCCAGGGGAGCAAACGGGAUUAGAUACCCCCGUA
rnacentral:rRNA from 1 species